AGAGGAAUAGCUGGGUCAAAUGGUGGUCCCAUUCCCACUUUCCAAGGAAUCUCCAUACUGCUUUCCAAAUUGGCUGCACCAAUUUGCAGGCCCACCAGCAAU
rnacentral:pre_miRNA from 1 species